CCUACGGGAGGCAGCAGUGAGGAAUAUUGGUCAAUGGGCGCGAGCCUGAACCAGCCAAGCAGCGUGAAGGAUGACUGCCCUACGGGUUGUAAACUUCUUUUAUAAAGGAAUAAAGUGAGGCACGUGUGCCUUUUUGUAUGUACUUUAUGAAUAAGGAUCGGCUAACUCAGUGCCAGUAGCCGCGGUAAUACGGAGGAGCCGAGCGUUAUUCGGAUUUAUUGGGUUUAAAGGGAGCGUAGAUGGGUGAUUAAGUGAGUUGUGAAAGUUUGGGGCUCAAACGUAAAAUUGCAUUUGAUACUGGCAGUCUUGAGUACAGUUGGGGUAGGCGGAAUUCGUGGUGUAGCGGUGAAAUGCUUAGAUAUCACGAGGAACUCCGAUUGCGAAGGCAGCUUACUAAACUGCCACUGACAUUGAUGCUCGAAAGUGUGGGGAUCAAACAGGAUUAGAUACCCUAGUAGUC
rnacentral:rRNA from 1 species